rnacentral:rRNA from 1 species
UCGAGCGAGAAAGUUUCUUCGGAAACGAGUAAAGCGGCGGACGGGUGAGUAACGCGUAGGAAUCUACCAUUCAGUGGGGGAUAGCUCGGGGAAACCCGAAUUAAUACCGCAUAUACCCUAAGGGGGAAAGAGGGCCUAUCCUUGGAAGCUCUUGCUGUUUGAUGAGCCUGCGUGAGAUUAGUUUGUUGGUGAGGUAAUGGCUCACCAAGGCUACGAUCUCUAGCUGGUCUGAGAGGACGAUCAGCCACACUGGGACUGAGACACGGCCCAGACUCCUACGGGAGGCAGCAGUGGGGAAUAUUGGACAAUGGGGGCAACCCUGAUCCAGGCAUGCCGCGUGUGUGAAGAAGGCCUUCGGGUUGUAAAGCACUUUAGGUAAGGAAGAAAAGUCAUUGGUUAAUACCCAAUGACCAUGACAUUA